UACGGAGGGUGCGAGCGUUGUCCGGAAUCACUGGGCGUAAGGGCGCGUAGGUGGCGCAGGAAGUCAACGGUGAAAGUUCGGGGCUCAACCCUGAAUCGGCCGUCGAUACUCCUGGGCUCGAGCACUGUAGAGGCAGAUGGAAUUCCGGGUGUAGCGGUGGAAUGCGUAGAGAUCCGGAAGAACACCGGUGGCGAAGGCGGUCUGCUGGGCGAGUGCUG
rnacentral:rRNA from 1 species